rnacentral:lncRNA from 1 species
GAAGGUACAUGAGCAGAUCCUCAGCAUUGAGAAAAGAUAUUCCCUUGGACUGCAGAUAACAAAGCAGAGGAAAAAAAGAUACUGUGAGUCUGAACAUGGGAAAUAUGAAGUAACACAUACACACACACAGAAGUAAGUAAGGUGUUAUUCUCUAUACAGCCGUUUUUAGCACUGAGGCUUUAUUACAAGAGAGAAGACAAAAGAUGCCCAAAUUCCUUAAGAGGUCAGCUGAUUCACGACCAAUCUCUAGGACUGCUCAAGAAAAUAAGGAAAACAUCUCUAAACAAAGAAAAUUCAGUGAAACCCAGCCUUGGACAUGCUAAAUAACAGCACUGCCUGGAGAUAAGAAGGUAUUGGGUAGAAAUGAGAAAGACCAUAAUUCCUAGGCUUUAUUUCCCCGGGGUCCCAAACUUUGAAGUGUACUUUAACUAAACCUCAGAUCGCUCUCAGAUGUUUUCUCUCAAGAAAGAGCACGGGUUAAAGGAGAAUGGGCAAACAUAAACAAGUUGUAUGUCACACAUAAAUAACAAGUGGCAGUCCUGAAGGAACGGCUGUGGAUUUCAAGAUGUGGGCUCAUGCAGGAUAUGAGUAAUUCCCAGAGACUUCCCACUAACUUUCAGUGGUCUCCCACUGACGUUACUGGUAUCCUGUGGCAAGAGAAUAGGACCAAUAUUUUUAGAAGUGUGUGCUGGCUGUUCUCUGGAGUCCUUGCAGUGCCGGGGUAUUUUUAGUGGUUCAUUAUAUGGAUUGGAGGAGUCUUUGCGUUGUGUUGUGUCACACGCAGCGUGUGAACUUCCUGUCCCUGCUCCUCUGUGCCUUUGAUCCUGCCCAUCCAGCCACCACAGCAGGAGAGCUGACACAUCAGCCAUGGCCAUUUCUUCGUUACUAGGACUUCCAGGGAAUCCUCAAGGGAUCAGCUGGAAGAGAGGCCCUGAAUUUCCUCUGACUGAGAACAUCUUCAUAUGGGGGAAUCUCUUAUCUGACUCCAUCACCAGAGAGAAAAGAAUCCGUCUUCAGGUGAAAAUUCACAGAAGUUUUCUUUCAACAGAAGAUGUCUUACAUUCCCAAAAUAAUCCCUCUGUUUUUGUGCUUUCUACUAAGGCUUCAGCAAAGAAUGAUCCUCAUGCUGCUGUCGUAGAAAGGCCAGCUUGUCUCCAGGCUGGAAGAAAUUCUGAUCCUUGAGUUGCCAGCCUCUGUUCUUAAAUGUGUGAAUGGUCCAAAGAUCUCUCAGAGCUUGAUGGGAUAUGACAAAAGCAAAGGUAUUUAUGUUCCAUGGCUAUUUUCCCUUGUCAGAUCCAGUGAGGAUAACAUACAGAUGUACUCUAAGC